UCCACAUGUAUUUGACAUUUGUUAAUUCAUUGUUUGUGAUUGUUCAAGCAAAUUUCAUAUAGUCAAUUUCAAUAAAACUUGUUUUUAUCAAUUCGCCUCCUUCCGAGGAUUAUUUCAUUUUUGGGGACUUCCGUGGUGAGUUCUUCCGAUGUCCCUUGUCGAUGAAGCGGCCUAAUUUUACCUUCUUUAUCAAAUCUUCAAUUGCUUCUCGGAGUUGGAAGCAUUCUUCUGUGUCGUGGCCCCGACUCCGAUGGUAGCAGCAUUACUUCGCCUUGUCGGUUCUUGCCGAUUAUUUCAGCAAUUGUGGUUUGUUCGCAAUCAAUUUCUCUAUAACCAGAAAUUCUUGUAAUGUUGUUUUAAUUCUUGUUUUCGGGUAGAUAGGUUGUUCAUAAGCAGUGAAAAUUCACCAUGGAAGAUAUGGAGUGGUUACUACAGGUAAAUAAUAAUGAAAUAAAACUAAGUUCAUCUUCUGUUGCUCAAAUCACAUGGCAGAGAAGCUGAGAUCCCAAUUCUCGGUGCAUUUGAAAACAUCAAAGUCUAUCAAAUCUCACAAUGGUGAUACAUUCAAAAAUAAGAUAUAAGACACAAUUCAGUUAUAAUAUUAUUUAGUGCCUAAUUUCAUUUUAUUAUCAACAUCUUUGAGUGUAGAGUCAUAGUUUCAACAUCCAUGAAGUUGUAAAAAGAAAAAAAAUAAAAGAUACAAUUAUUGGAUGCUACUAAAAAGAUUAAAUGGCAACUUGCGGUAUAACUAUAAGGUAUGUUGCAUAGAUUUUUUGCUAGUGCAAGAACUCACUCCUCUUCGGCGCGAUACUUAUAUCAAACAAAAGGAAACGUCAACGUAAACUGUACACAUAUACCGUUAAGGCACUUAUAAACUAAAGGAUACAUAAGGUCUGGACAAUUGGCCGCAACUACACAUUUAAUUUUUACUGCAAUGAAAGAAGAGAAUAAAAUAAUGUUCCUAAAAUGAUAUAAAACAUUAUGUAUGAAGUACAAAUUAAAGAAGGAAAUUUGAAAAUGGUUUUAAAAAAAAUGCUUACCAUCAUCCCCCUUGGCAACAAGAAACAAGGAAAGAAAUAAAAUCACAGCAUAAACAAACUUGAGAGUUCUAGCCAUAUUUUUCUAUGUUGUACCAAAUAGAAUAUGAUUUAGUCAAUUUAUAGUGUAUUAAGGUCAUGUAAUAUUGUUUUCU
rnacentral:lncRNA from 1 species